rnacentral:rRNA from 1 species
AGUGAACGCUGGCGGUAGGCCUAACACAUGCAAGUCGAACGGCAGCACAGGAGAGCUUGCUCUCUGGGUGGCGAGUGGCGGACGGGUGAGGAAUACAUCGGAAUCUACUUUUUCGUGGGGGAUAACGUAGGGAAACUUACGCUAAUACCGCAUACGACCUACGGGUGGAAGCAGGGGACCUUCGGGCCUUGCGCGAUUGAAUGAGCCGAUGUCGGAUUAGCUAGUUGGCGGGGUAAAGGCCCACCAAGGCGACGAUCCGUAGCUGGUCUGGGAGGAUGAUCAGCAGCACUGGAACUGAGACACGGUCCAGACUCCUACGGGAGGCAGCAGUGGGGAAUAUUGGACAAUGGGCGCAAGCCUGAUCCAGCCAUACCGCGUGGGUGAAGAAGGCCUUCGGGUUGUAAAGCCCUUUUGUUGGGAAAGAAAUCCAGCUGGCUAAUACCCGGUUGGGAUGACGGUACCCAAAGAAUAAGCACCGGCUAACUUCGUGCCAGCAGCCGCGGUAA